GGAAGGGUGGCUGAGCCCGGUUGAAGGCACUCGACUCGAAAUCGAGCGUACGCUUAUACCGUACCGCGGGUUCGAAUCCCGCCCCUUCCGCCA
rnacentral:tRNA from 1 species